GUGGGGAAUAUUGGACAAUGGGCGCAAGCCUGAUCCAGCCAUGCCGCGUGAGUGAUGAAGGCCCUAGGGUUGUAAAGCUCUUUCACCAGUGAAGAUAAUGACGGUAACCGGAGAAGAAGCCCCGGCUAACUUCGUGCCAGCAGCCGCGGUAAUACGAAGGGGGCUAGCGUUGUUCGGAAUUACUGGGCGUAAAGCGCACGUAGGCGGACAUUUAAGUGAGGGGUGAAAUCCCGGGGCUCAACCCCGGAACUGCCAUUGAUACUGUGUAUCUUGAAUAUGAGAGAGGUAGGCGGAAUGUUGCAUGUAGCGGUGAAAUGCUUAGAUAUGCUACGGAACACCGAUUGCGAAGGCAGCUUACUAUUUCGUAAUUGACGCUGAGGCACGAAAGCGUGGGUAGCGAACAGGAUUAGAAACCCCAGUAGUCC
rnacentral:rRNA from 1 species